rnacentral:rRNA from 1 species
AACUUUAUGGAGAGUUUGAUCCUGGCUCAGAGUGAACGCUGGCGGCGUGCCUAAUACAUGCAAGUCGAACGAUGAAGCCUAGCUUGCUAGGCGGAUUAGUGGCGCACGGGUGAGUAACGCAUAGAUGACAUGCCCUUUAGUUUGGGAUAGCCACUAGAAAUGGUGAUUAAUACCAAAUACCACCCUACGGGGGAAAGAUUUAUCGCUAAAGGAUUGGUCUAUGUCCUAUCAGCUUGUUGGUGAGGUAAAGGCUCACCAAGGCAAUGACGGGUAUCCGGCCUGAGAGGGUGAACGGACACACUGGAACUGAGACACGGUCCAGACUCCUACGGGAGGCAGCAGUAGGGAAUAUUGCUCAAUGGGCGCAAGCCUGAAGCAGCAACGCCGCGUGGAGGAUGAAGGUUUUAGGAUUGUAAACUCCUUUUGUGAGAGAAGAUAAUGACGGUAUCUCACGAAUAAGCACCGGCUAACUCCGUGCCAGCAGCCGCGGUAAUACGGAGGGUGCAAGCGUUACUCGGAAUCACUGGGCGUAAAGAGUGCGUAGGCGGGGUUGUAAGUCAGGUGUGAAAUCCUAUGGCUUAACCAUAGAACUGCAUUUGAAACUACAACCCUAGAGUGUGGGAGAGGUAGGUGGAAUUCUUGGUGUAGGGGUAAAAUCCGUAGAGAUCAAGAGGAAUACUCAUUGCGAAGGCGACCUGCUGGAACAAUACUGACGCUGAUUGCACGAAAGCGUGGGGAGCAAACAGGAUUAGAUACCCUGGUAGUCCACGCCCUAAACGAUGGAUGCUAGUUGUUGGGGGGCUUUGUCCUCCCAGUAAUGCAGCUAACGCCUUAAGCAUCCCGCCUGGGGAGUACGGUCGCAAGAUUAAAACUCAAAGGAAUAGACGGGGACCCGCACAAGCGGUGGAGCAUGUGGUUUAAUUCGAAGAUACACGAAGAACCUUACCUAGGCUUGACAUUGAAGGAAUCUGCUAGAAAUAGCGGAGUGUCUAGCUUGCUAGACCCUGAAAACAGGUGCUGCACGGCUGUCGUCAGCUCGUGUCGUGAGAUGUUGGGUUAAGUCCCGCAACGAGCGCAACCCUCUUUCUUAGUUGCUAACAGGUUAAGCUGAGCUCUCUAAGAAUACUGCCUGCGUAAGCAGGAGGAAGGUGAGGACGACGUCAAGUCAUCAUGGCCCUUACGCCUAGGGCUACACACGUGCUACAAUGGGGUGCACAAAGAGAUGCAAUGCCGCGAGGCUGAGCCAAUCUUAAAAACGCCUCUCAGUUCGGAUUGCAGGCUGCAACUCGCCUGCAUGAAGCUGGAAUCGCUAGUAAUCGCAAAUCAGCCAUGUUGCGGUGAAUACGUUCCCGGGUCUUGUACUCACCGCCCGUCACACCAUGGGAGUUGUGUUUGCCUUAAGUCAGGAUGCUAAAGCAGCUACUGCCCACGGCACACACAGCGACUGGGGUGAAGUCGUAACAAGGUAACCGUAGGUGAACCUGCGGUUGGAUCACCUCCUUUCUU